AUGCGUGAUCCGAGGAUUUGGGUUAAGGGAGAAUGCAACGAGUCGCUAUAUAAAGCAGCCGCAGCGCCGCUACCUGCAUAUAAACCGUGUCGCGGACACCCCCAUGUUGAAAUGACGCUAUGCAUUACGGGGCUCCCAGGGGCAGAUAAGAGUUGGUCUCUCUCCGAGAAUAAUUAUGAAUUUAACAAUGAUUACUGCCUGAUGACAUUUUCCCACAUCUGCAAAGCUCACUGGAAGGACACAAACCGAGGACAAUAUUUUCCUGAUAUAGGGUUUAUUACUCAAGUAAGGGUAAAAAAGUAUCUGAUUAGAAGGCUACUUGGCCUGCUUAUGCUAUCUAAUCACUGGGAGAGAAAGGAGAGCAGCGUGCCUUGAUCCACCCACCCACCCCAGACAAACAGCAGUUAGCCUGCUAAGAACUACGCGGCCGCCUGCAGCUUCUUGGUUGUACAUGUGGGAGCGGGGAUAAAAUGUGACAGAGUGUGCAGGUAACAGACAAGCAGCACAAUUAUGUCUCAUUCGGUGCCGAGGAGAAAGACAGAUGUGUCAACACUGGCAGCCACCACGGGCCACGAUGAUCGCAACACGAGGGAGUGUGUGACUGUAAAUCAGGCCCGAUGCGUUGUCAUUGGUGAACACGUCGGAAACAAUCCACUGGUUUAGGGUGGAAAUGAAACAAAUGAGAGCACAGUGGGCUGCUUAUUGGAUCAAAUUAGUCAAUUUUCAGUUUAAACUUGAGGUAAGUGUUUAAAGAUCAGGUUUAAUAUUGGAAACGGCACAAACACAAACACAUCUGCACGCGUUUUAGAGAAUCAUGAGCUUUGCUGUCAUCUAACAGCUGGGUUACCUGUGUAACACCUGAGUGAGUGGGAAGCGGUAGGUAGGAUUUGCAUCCGAAAAUAUCUGACCCCACACAUCACUGUUGUGUAUUUGUAAGUGUGCAUGAGGUUCGAGAUGGUCCGUCACCGUGUGUGUGUGUGUGUGUGUGUGUGUGUGUGUGUUCAUGACAGGCAUCUGUCUCCCCUGCCCUGCAGCCUGACUGGUUUUAAUUAGGAGGUGCCAGAGUGCCCGAGGGCUCUCCUGCUGACACACACAAGUACACAAGCAUGCACACACACACACACACACACACACACACACACACACACACACACACACACUACCUGAGGGCAGACAGAGGCUGUCCCACCAAGGCUGGCCUCCUUCUCGUUACCACCAUGAGGAGUUGUUCUCAUUCACCUGACGACCCUCACAACACACACACACACACACACACACACACACACACACACACACACACACACACACACACACACACACACACA
rnacentral:lncRNA from 1 species